UUAGAGUGCUUAAAGCAGGCAAAAACUUACGCCUGAAUGGUGGUGCAUGGAAUGAUGGAACAGGACCUCGGUUCUGCCCUGUUUGUUGGUCGGUUUCUUCGGAACCGAGGUAAUGAUAAAAAGAAACAGACGGGGGCAUUCGUAUUGCGACGCUAGAGGUGAAAUUCUUGGACCGUCGCAAGACGAACUACUGCGAAAGCAUUUGCCAAGAAUGUUUUCAUUAAUCAAGAACGAAAGUUAGAGGAUCGAAGGCGAUCAGAUACCGCCUAGUUCUAACCAUAAACGAUGCUACCUGGCGAUCCGCCGGCGUCAUACCCACGACUCGGCGGGGAGCCUCCGGGAACCGAAAGGUUACGAGUUCCGGGGGAAGGUAGUGGUUGCAAAGCUGAAACUUAAAGGAAUUGACGGAAGGGCACCACCAGGAGUGGAGCCUGCGGCUUAAUUUGACUCAACACGGGGAAACUUACCAGGUCCAGACACCGAAAGGAUUGACAGAUUGAGAGCUCUUUCUCGAUACGGUGGGUGGUGGUGCAUGGCCGUUUUUAGUUGGUGGAGCGAUCUGUCUGGUUGAUUCCGAUAACGAACGAGACUC
rnacentral:rRNA from 1 species